AGUGAACGCUGGCGGCGUGCUUAACACAUGCAAGUCGAACGAUGAAGCUCUAGCUUGCUAGAGUGGAUUAGUGGCGCACGGGUGAGUAAUGUAUAGCUAAUGUGCCCCUUAGAGGGGGAUAACAGUUGGAAACGACUGCUAAUACCCCAUACUCCUUCUUCCUAUAAGGGAAGUUGGGAAAGUUUUUUCGCUAAGGGAUCGGGCUAUAUGGUAUCAGCUUGUUGGUGAGGUAAUGGCUCACCAAGGCUAUGACGCCUAUCUGGUCUGAGAGGAUGAUCAGACACACUGGAACUGAGACACGGUCCAGACUCCUACGGGAGGCAGCAGUGGGGAAUAUUACACAAUGGAGGAAACUCUGAUGUAGCAACGCCGCGUGGAGGAUGACACAUUUCGGUGCGUAAACUCCUUUUAUAUGGGAAGAUAAUGACGGUACCAUAUGAAUAAGCACCGGCUAACUCCGUGC
rnacentral:rRNA from 3 species